AUCCUGAGUGUGUGUGGUGAACCUGAACUUGCCCUGGGUUUCCUCAGAUACAUUCAGGAGUGU
rnacentral:pre_miRNA from 1 species